rnacentral:tRNA from 1 species
GGGUAUAGCUCAGUUGGUAGAGCACAUGCUUACCAUGCACGAGGUCUUGGGUUCAAUUCCCAGCACCUCCA